AUGAGGGAGGCCGAGGCGACCGGACUCCUCUCGCCGGUGGCGACCGGAUCUCUUUCUCCGGAGGUGCGGCACCCGUCAGGUGGCUACGUAGGGGAGAUCCGGCCGUGUUCUCUCAGUCCUCUACCGGAGGCGCCGCCGGGAGGACAGGGGGGUUUGCCAGGAUCGGGCGGGGAUCGCAGCGAUUCUACGCAGAAGAAGAUCGGGCGGGAUGAGCGGAGAUGGAUCCAAUGGCGGGCGAUGUUCUCUGCUGGGACGGAUCCGGGUAUCUGGACCGAGGGUCGUCUUCGUUUUUCUCCGCACUCAACUUGGCUGGCACUUCUCGAUCUGGAGAACGACGUUCUUGUCGGCGAACCCUUUCCGAACGGCGGCAUGCUCGAGGUAGGUUUUCAAUUCAAUUUUGAUGCGUAUGCAGUGGUUGUUGGCGAGCGUGUGCAGAUAGAUUUACGUCCUAAGGCGCCGGAGGUGGUUGAUCUGACGGCACCGACGGAUUCUUCACGACCGGGCGGACGUUUUUGGGUAUUUUUGGAGAGCGAGGACGAAGAACAGGUGGAGGUUCAGGUUCCCACAAGAACACUUGUGGCCUCGCAGGGUGCGCCUGUGUUGCCGGAGCCUAACGCCACAACAAUUCGCCGUCGAUCCAAAGUUCACAUUUCCAAACCGCCGAUGAAACCAUGGAUCGGACCAAUUCCUAAGGUUAUCUCAGAGCUACAGCUUGGAUCCGUACGUGGUCCUUACUCACUCCUAUGGACUCCAGGGAGCCUUUGGUUACUGGGUGCAACCAAUGGGAGAUGGUGGCUCGGGCUAUAUUCAACCGGUUCGGAUGGCGGUCGCAUAACAGAAUAG
rnacentral:rRNA from 1 species